AAAUUCUAAAACUUCACUUGUUCUUUGAAUGCUCUACAUAUGAACCAUUAUUUAGUCCAGACUCCAGAGAAAGAGUGUUACAUUCUCCCCUGUUUUACACAAGAAAAGAAAAACCCUUCAAUUCAUCUAGAACUUUCCUUCCUCACCUCACCUCACCUCACCCGCCUUGUCUCAGAUAUAAAUAAAACCAACCCAAACAACUUCUCCUCUUCAUAUUUCCUUUCACUCAAAGCAGAGAGAAAGAAACAGAACAACAUAACAAACAAUGAAACAACUUUUGUAUCUUACUGAGAAGGAAGAUAUACAUUCCUAAGCCAACCUCACAUCCAGCACCAAUUCCACAUCCAAACUGUAUCCCAGGUAUUCCAGGACCCAAACCUGCACCUGGAGUGGGAAAUGUUACCUUGUCAGCAUGCAAAAUAUUCAUUCAGUAUAUAAUAAAAUUAACAGUAAGAACUGGAAUA
rnacentral:lncRNA from 1 species